AGUCGAACGGCAGCACGGGUGCUUGCACCUGGUGGCGAGUGGCGAACGGGUGAGUAAUGCGUCGGAACGUACCGAGUAAUGGGGGAUAACGCAGCGAAAGUUGUGCUAAUACCGCAUACGCCCUGAGGGGGAAAGCGGGGGAUCGUAAGACCUCGCGUUAUUCGAGCGGCCGACGUCUGAUUAGCUAGUUGGUGGGGUAAAGGCCCACCAAGGCGACGAUCAGUAGCGGGUCUGAGAGGAUGAUCCGCCACACUGGGACUGAGACACGGCCCAGACUCCUACGGGAGGCAGCAGUGGGGAAUUUUGGACAAUGGGGGCAACCCUGAUCCAGCCAUUCCGCGUGAGUGAAGAAGGCCUUCGGGUUGUAAAGCUCUUUCAGCUGGAAAGAAACGGUAGAGGUUAAUACCCUUUGCUAAUGACGGUACCAGCAGAAGAAGCACCGGCUAACUACGUGCCAGCAGCCGCGGUAAUACGUAGGGUGCGAGCGUUAAUCGGAAUUACUGGGCGUAAAGCGUGCGCAGGCGGAUUGUUAAGCAAGAUGUGAAAUCCCCGGGCUUAACCUGGGAAUGGCAUUUUGAACUGGCAGUCUAGAGUGUGUCAGAGGGGGGUGGAAUUCCACGUGUAGCAGUGAAAUGCGUAGAGAUGUGGAGGAACACCAAUGGCGAAGGCAGCCCCCUGGGAUAACACUGACGCUCAUGUACGAAAGCGUGGGUAGCAAACAGGAUUAGAUACCCUGGUAGUCCACGCCCUAAACGAUGUCAACUGGUUGUUGGGGGAGUGAAAUCCCUUAGUAACGAAG
rnacentral:rRNA from 1 species